rnacentral:rRNA from 1 species
CUAGCAGUAUCAGAGUUUGAUCCUGGCUCAGGAUGAACGCUAGCUACAGGCUUAACACAUGCAAAUCGAGGGGUCUUUUUUAGCUUGCUUUAAAGACGACCGGCGCACGGGUGAGUAACGCGUAUCCAACCUGCCCUUCAUAUUGGUAUAGCCUCCCGAAAGGGAGAUUAAUCCCGAAUAACAUGAGAGAGUUGCCUGAUUUUCUCAUGAAAGCUCCGGCGAUGAAGGAUGGGGAUGCGUUCCAUUAGGUAGUAGGCGGGGUAACGGCCCACCUAGCCGACGAUGGAUAGGGGUUCUGAGAGGAAGGUCCCCCACACUGGAACUGAGACACGGUCCAG